rnacentral:rRNA from 1 species
UACGGAGGGUGCAAGCGUUAUCCGGAUUCACUGGGUUUAAAGGGUGCGUAGGUGGAUCGAUAAGUCAGUGGUGAAAGCCCCGAGCUCAACUUGGGAAUUGCCAUUGAUACUGUUGAUCUUGAGUGCGGUUGAGGUAGACGGAAUAUGUCAUGUAGCGGUGAAAUGCUUAGAUAUGACAUAGAACACCAAUUGCGAAGGCAGUUUACCAAGCCAUUACUGACACUGAGGCACGAAAGCGUGGGGAUCAAACAGG